AGAGUUUGAUCCUGGCUCAGGAUGAACGCUGGCGGCGUGCCUAACACAUGCAAGUCGAGCGAUUCUCUUCGGAGAAGAGCGGCGGACGGGUGAGUAACGCGUGGGUAACCUGCCCUGUACACACGGAUAACAUACCGAAAGGUAUGCUAAUACGAGAUAAUAUACUUUUAUCGCAUGGUAGAAGUAUCAAAGCUUUUGCGGUACAGGAUGGACCCGCGUCUGAUUAGCUAGUUGGUAAGGUAACGGCUUACCAAGGCGACGAUCAGUAGCCGACCUGAGAGGGUGAUCGGCCACAUUGGAACUGAGACACGGUCCAAACUCCUACGGGAGGCAGCAGUGGGGAAUAUUGCACAAUGGGCGAAAGCCUGAUGCAGCAACGCCGCGUGAGCGAUGAAGGCCUUCGGGUCGUAAAGCUCUGUCCUCAAGGAAGAUAAUGACGGUACUUGAGGAGGAAGCCCCGGCUAACUACGUGCCAGCAGCCGCGGUAAUACGUAGGGGGCUAGCGUUAUCCGGAAUUACUGGGCGUAAAGGGUGCGUAGGUGGUUUCUUAAGUCAGAGGUGAAAGGCUACGGCUCAACCGUAGUAAGCCUUUGAAACUGGGAAACUUGAGUGCAGGAGAGGAGAGUGGAAUUCCUAGUGUAGCGGUGAAAUGCGUAGAUAUUAGGAGGAACACCAGUUGCGAAGGCGGCUCUCUGGACUGUAACUGACACUGAGGCACGAAAGCGUGGGGAGCAAACAGGAUUAGAUACCCUGGUAGUCCACGCCGUAAACGAUGAGUACUAGCUGUCGGAGGUUACCCCCUUCGGUGGCGCAGCUAAC
rnacentral:rRNA from 1 species